rnacentral:snoRNA from 1 species
UAUUAUGAUGAUUUACUUUUAUUUUAAUCACGACGGUCAACAUAAAUCCAUUGAUGACCACCGCCUGUGACAGGGCAUUUGAUCUGAUA